UCUCAGGGCAUUGAUACCCACGGAAACCGUUUUGUGAAAGCUCAGUGAUGCGUCAGCAAUGAUAUUUAAUUCUCAGCCGAGUGAACUUUAAUCAGCAGUGUUAUUACAGGACCACAGAGCAGAGCGCCAACCUCGCUGCCAGGGGACCACACUUUAUUUAUGGGGUCUGGGGACCUCAUCGCCCAGGAGUUCAGACAAGCAAAGGAAUUUUUAAAACUCCGCCCUUGAAGAGGAAGCGGAGCCCUGGAGAAGGGAAUCCAGCUGAAGAGACGCCCGCAGGCUGGGGGACGGGGCGGCCUCCCAGUCCAGCCGACGGGACGCAGGGGCCGCUGCACGGAGGAUGUGGGAGCCUUUCCCGCGAGCUCUCCACAGGAGAAACACGGCGGGCGCAGUCAGGGGCGCAGACCGUACGACUUGAUGGAGUUCUGUGCACUGAGCGCCCCUGUGUGAGCACCCAAGGUCCCCGGCCGGCUCCAGGUCACGGCCAGCACCUGUGCCCCUCGGCCGUUCCCACCCGGCUCCCCAUCGUCUUCUGGUUUCCAGGGGGACCCGCUGUUUGGCUUUUAUUUCACGGUGACCAGGGGACACGCCCUUUCUGUCUGGCAUUUUGCCUGACGUCACGUGGAGGGACGGCUGCCUGGCCCUGGGGGCAGCAGGUCCCCCUUCCCACCACAGUGUGAGCACCACGCUCUGCCCAUCCACCCUGUGUGGAUGGACAUGGGGUCCUUCCCCACCUGGGGCCAUGUGCUCUGCCCACUCUGGAUCCGCGCUAGGUACUGGGCACCCGCAGCUCGGCCUCUCUCUAGGUGACCCCUCCACAUUCCAGGCUUCAGGUGCUCACGCCCUGAGGACCGCCUGUGACCGUGGGAACUGAGUUCUGAAUCGCAAGCUCCUCCGCGGAGCGUCCCCAGGACUCCCACCUGGGUCGGUCACUCCCGCCUAGCACGGGCCCCACGGCGCCCGCCCCCUCACGGCCCCCUCACCGCCCCCCUCACUGCCCUCCUUACCGCCUCCUCCCACCUUCCUGCUUCCGCGGCUUCACCUUUGUCCGGUGGCUACUGCUGCCUCAUAGAGCAGAUCUGUGGCCUUAGAAGGACGAUUCCAAAUGUCCCUGGACCCCGUGGGUCAGGAAUUCAGAGCACCAGGGAUGGCCUGUCUCCACUCCACGGUAUCUGGGGCCACCAACGGGAAGAUUCACAGCCGGAAGUGGUUGGCACUGGGACAAGAGUGGCAUCUCCACUCUGCUGUCUGGGGUCCAGCCAGGAGGACCCAGAGACCAGGGUGGAUGGCCAGAGCCCAUCUGUGGCCUCUCUGCAUGGCGUGCCAGCCACGAGCCACCCGUUGAGUGCUCCAGGGAGCAGAGACAGGGUGCGUGGCUCUGUAGGAGCGGCCUGGCUGCCGGCUGCCCGGUGACGCACUGCAGCCACCAGCCUGCUCUCCCUGCUCUUGUUCCAGGGGGGAAAGCGGGACUCGCCCCCUAAAGAGGAGGUUACCCUAAGGAUGGGGGCCACUUCUGUCGGCUGCGUCUUUGGGAAACAGUCCGCCGUCCUGCAACAUCAGAAGUGCACCGUGCUGCCCUGCCGCCAUCUUCCUCGGGGCUCCAGGACGCCAUGUCCCUCUUUAUCACGGGUGCUGCUGGUGGUCAUCUCUGUAGGCCAGGAUGGCACUGGCCGCACAGGUGCUGGUGCACCACAGGAGAAGCAGGUGGAGACGAUGCACCUGGGUAAGGUCUCGAGAUGUCCCUGAAGAGGCAUUUUGGACGCAGAGUGGAUAAAAGAGGACACAUCCAUGGGCAGUGCCUCAUAAUCUUCUUUGUCUCCCUGAAGCCGCCUCUAUCCCUUUCUGUGGUCAUCUGCUCUGGGGGUCUCAGGGAGCCCCUGCCGGUGCCGAGCCCCCGGAUGCCUCCUGGUGCGAGCCCCGUUAGCCAGUCAGUGCGGAUGGCAGAUAAGGUAUUCCGCUGCUUCCUGGGGUUUCCUUUCACUCCAGUGGGAAAGCUUCACUCCUUGGGCAGAAGGCUCCUGGUGUCCCCCAAGUCGAUGUUCUAUUCUGACUCAGCCCAGUGCAGAAGUUGCCAGGGAGGCCGGCGGCUCCUUGAGGCCCGUCCACCAGCUCCGAUCCAUUAUUAAUCACUGUAAAUCUGGAAUAAUCUCUACAAACAUAUUUUGUUCCCUACAAAUAUAUUUGUGCCAACCUUCCCUAAUAAAUCUUGUGUCAGGGA